GACGAACGCUGGCGGUGUGCUUAACACAUGCAAGUCGAACGGAAAGGCCCUUUCUGGGGUCCGCGAUUGGCUGACGAGUGGGUAACACGUACGUAACCUACCCUCAUCUCUCUGAUAACAGACUUAAGCAGUUUCUAGUACUGACUAUAAGCUUGCACGGCAUCUUUUGUGUUGGAAGGAUUGUUUUUGGUUGUGGGUGGACUCUCGCCGUAUCAGCGUGUUGGUGAGGUAGUGUCUCACCACGGCUUUGACGGGUAGACGGCCUGAGAGAGCGACCGGGCACACUGGGGAUGAGAGACGGGCCAAACUCCGCCGGGGGGCAGCAGUGGGGAAUAUUGCACAAUGGACGGAAGUCUGAUGCAGCAACGCGGCGUGCGGGAUGACGGCCUUCGGGUUGUAAACCGCGUUCAAUUGUGACGAAGCGUGUUUGUGACGGUAGCAGGAGAAGAAGCACCGGCUAACUACGUG
rnacentral:rRNA from 1 species